AGUGAACGCUGGCGGUAGGCCUAACACAUGCAAGUCGAACGGCAGCACAGUAAGAGCUUGCUCUUACGGGUGGCGAGUGGCGGACGGGUGAGGAAUACAUCGGACUCUACUUUUUCGUGGGGGAUAACGUAGGGAAACUUACGCUAAUACCGCAUACGACCUACGGGUGAAAGCAGGGGAUCUUCGGACCUUGCGCGAUUGAAUGAGCCGAUGUCGGAUUAGCUAGUUGGCGGGGUAAAGGCCCACCAAGGCGACGAUCCGUAGCUGGUCUGAGAGGAUGAUAAGCCACACUGGAACGGAGACACGGUCCAGACUCCUACGGGAGGCAGCAGUGGGGAAUAUUGGACAAUGGGCGCAAGCCUGAUCCAGCCAUACCGCGUGGGUGAAGAAGGCCUUCGGGUUGUAAAGCCCUUUUGUUGGGAAAGAAAAGCAGCAGGUUAAUACCCCGCUGUUCUGACGGUACCCAAAGAAUAAGCACCGGCUAACUUCGUG
rnacentral:rRNA from 1 species